AGAAUAUCAGGGGGGAAAGAGGAAGAGCUCAGUCUAAGGAGACUGGAGUGUGGUAAAGAGGUAGGGGUUUCUCAAGUAUGUGAAUUCUGGAGAAUUAAGUGUAGGGCGAAGAGGAAGGUGAAGGGUACAUCUGGUUGAAACAAGAGAAAGGGCCCUGAUACGCUCUGCUGGGGACCAAACCGUAACAGCAUCCAGACACCUGAAAAGCCCCUGCCUUGAAAAGGAGAGGUGUCUUUCUCGGCGGACACCAGCUCCUUCUCUUAAAGCUGUAAUAAGUGGAGUCUUCACUUGAGGAAGUUGGCGGAAGAGACAGAGCCGGGGAAUGAUUUGAACCUGCGGGAUUGGGGAAAAAAAUAGUGUCAAUCAAAUGUAAAUGACGCUCCCAUUAAAUAAUGAUUUUCAUUCCAACCCAUUCGGAAGAAAUUCUCCGACUGCGCGAUGAACCGGUCGGCAAAUAAACUUGGCUUUUUCUUUUCCCCCGGGGCCCACCA